AUUGAACGCUGGCGGCAGGCCUAACACAUGCAAGUCGAACGAGUGGCGGACGGGUGAGUAACGUCUGGGAAACGGCCUGAUGGAGGGGGAAAAAUAAUGGAAACGGUAGCUAAUACCGCAUACCAUCAGAUGUGCCCAGACGGGAUUAGCUUGUUGGUGGGGGAACGGCUCACCAAGGCGAAGAUCCCUAGCUGGUCUGAGAGGAUGACCAGCCACACUGGAAGUGAGACACGGUCCAAACUCCUGCGGGAGGCAGCAGUGGGGAAUAUGGCACAAUGGGCGCAGGCCGGAUGCAGCCAUGCCGCGUGUAUGAAGAGGUCCUUCGGGUUGUAAAGUACUUUCAGCGGGGAGUCGUUACCCGCAGAAGAAGCACCGGCUAACUCCGUGCCAGCAGCCGCGGUAAUUC
rnacentral:rRNA from 1 species